AAGGAAGGAAGGAAGGAAGGAGAGAUAGAGCAAAACUGGAAAAGAUACAGACAAGGGCAGCACUGCUGAUCAAAGGUGUGGGUGCCAUCUGUGCAAAAAGCAGUGGAGCAGACCAAGACUCUUGAGGAUGGGGAAGAGAUGGCCCAGAGAGAGAGUGACAAGGAGCGACCUCGGUGACUGAAAUAUAGAUCAAAGCUCCAGCCUAAGGCUGGUCGAAAGAAAAGGGAAGUGAAAAAAAACACUGAAAAAUGUAUCCUUGAGCUUAAAGAAUUCUUUCUCUUCUUGUUUUUUGACAUUUUUAUUUGAAGAUUUUCUGUCUCAUCCUGUAUUUAGCAUACCUUACAGUAUGUUUGAAAGAGGAGCAAAAGAGAGACACUAAACAAAAAAUGAUUUUACUUUCUUAUGUUACAACUGUACCAAUUUCUAAACCUGAAUAGUUUCAUUUUACAUGGGAGGAAGGAGGUGAUGACUUGCUGUGCUUGGUCUACCAUGUCUGUGCUGCUCACUAAUCUUUCUGAGACUAAUCUUGAUAAUCCUCAUAAAGACGUGAGUGAAGUCAUCAUGAUCAUCUGUGUUUGAUUUCCUUGAUUCUAAUUACAUUUGCGCUAUGUGCCAAUUGUGAGGAAAAACAUAUAAUUUAUCCUAUAAAUGCCAUAGUACCCGUAUUUUGGAUGCAAGGUCUACCAAUUAAAAUAUCACUUCACACCACUUGAAUACAUUAGAUAAACAAGUGCUGUCUUGUCUUAAAUACUGGAAUAGGGGAUCAUACUGGAUAUGAGUACAAUUGGAAAGUGAGCUGUUUCCAUAUAAUCUUUCUCUUGUAAACUCUCAAAGAUAUCUUUAUAUAAAGAGCUUUAUUUCAUGUAGUAAAUAAAUACCCUGCUCAACU